CCUAGGCUGGCUUGUCAGCUGGACUUUAGGGGCUUCCUACACUUUGAGCUGUUGGCAAAGCACAUUGUUACUCUGGGUGGAUCAGAUCCUGAAAACUCUACCUACCAGAGUGGAUUGAUUGGUUUACAGAAUCGAGGGACAUGAACAUUUCCACCAACUUGAGUAUCAAGGCACAAUUAGUGAUCACCGCAAGUUGCUUUGGGAUUCUGUCAUCAAAGCAGAGGGCUGGCAAGCUCUGUUAGAUAUUCCAUCUGUGCUGUGGUGGACCCUGGAGGACCACACCUCACUAUUACCAAGGCUGUAUCUUGAUUCACUGGAAUCCAAAGUAUCUACCCCCGUUAGCUGCUCUCUCUUGCAAGCUGUAUUAGUUUGCUGGAACUGCUGUAACAAACACCACAGAUUGUGUGGUAUAAACAACAGAUUUAUUUUCUCAUGGUUUUGGAUGCUGGAGGUCUGAGAUCAAGGUGUCAGCUGGGUUGGUUCCUUCUGAGGCCUCUCUCUCUGUCUUGUAAAUGGCCAUCUUUUCCUUGUGUCUUCACACAGUCCUUCUGUGCAUGUCUGUGUCUAAAUUUCCUCUUGUAAGGACGUCAAUCAUAUUGGAUUAGGGUCCCCACCUCAAUGAUCUCAUUUUAACUUAGUUACAUCUUUAAAGGCCUUGUCUCCAAAUAGAGUUUCAUUCUGAGAUAUUGGAGGUUAGGACAUAGAUAUGAAUUUGGGGGAGAUGCAAUUCGGCUCAUAACAGAUGGAAUUGGAUAAAUCCAACUCUUUUAAUUUUUGCUACUUUUAAAAAAUUAAAUUACGUUCUUUUCAGAACCUCUAUUUUGUCAAGAUUAGAUACAUUUCAUAGCUUGAAUCAGGUACUUUUUUCCCAGCUUCUUUUAUGAGACAUUGGUCAUACUCCAGUCUCAUCGGGAACAUGCACAGAAGAUGCCUGGAGUGCAGAACAGUUUGGUAGCAAUCACGUCCUGACUCUGCCAUCUGGGAGCUGUGCAAGGGGUCCUUCUGUCUGUGAAUGUGUCUUCAUACCCCUCCCCCACCCAGCUCCUGGGGCAUUCAGAGCCCCCUCUGCUUUCAGUCGAUAUCUGAGCCAGUAAGAAAAGCACUGGCCUGGAAAUCAGGAACCAUGGGCUCUACUUCUUCAUAAUGAUGGAAAAACCAUUGCAAAAGUCACUUCCCCUCCUGAGUCUCAGUUUCCCCAUCUGGAAAACAGAUGUGCUGGUCUAUAGCAUCGCUGAAGUCCCUCCAUGACGUCAUACCCUAGGAUUCUUUGAUCCUGUGAUCGUAUCAGACCUACAGGGUGUGUCUAGGCAAAUGGUCCACCAAUGGGCCUGACUGAAGAAAGUUCCAUUUUGUUGGCCACGAAUUGCAGUUUAGGCUGAGCAGGCUGAGAGUGACCAGUACCUGACUGGGGUGGAAGGUGGCUGGGAGGGAAUGUGUCUUUUAGGACAGCCACCUGAAGGAGCCAGCUUCAAGGUCAGGAGGUCAAGGACAGAGGCAUCCCCUGGCCUGGCCCAGAAAAGGUCAUGGGUCCACACCAGGCCCUCCGACCACUGCCUCCCCACUCCAUCAGCGGGCGUUGUAUUCAGCUAAGAAGAGUUACUUCCAAAGAUCCCAACAUUUCGUUAUCUGCCAAAGCUAAGAAGGAAACUUCUCAGGAAGUAGGCCAGCUCUGUGCAGCUUUCCCUGGGUGUAAGCGAUUUGCAUCCUGAAGGAGCAGUUUGCUGAACACUUUUUAGGUGAUGGAUCCUUAUACAGAAAAAUCACGUAAUGGACCUCUGAGUUGAAGAGGAGGCUUCCCUUCCACUGGGCAUAAGGGGAAAGAAAAGAGGAAUAAACGGCUCCCUAAAUAAAGGAUACAGAGUUUGGGAGCUGUUUUCUGGCAGCUGGAAUGACUGAGGGGAUUUCAAGCACAGAAAAGAGAGAGAAGGGGAAAUGAGAAGACGCGUGUAUC